CCCAUCUAGAUCAUGGGCUUGGACUAUACGAGCCGGGCUUUGUUAAUUGGGCGAUGUUCAUAAUCAUAUAUAACUCUAUUAAUUUAUUUAAGUGUAUUUAUAUUAGUUGGUAAUUUAGUUUUGGAGUCCAAAUGUAAAUUUUCAUUUAAACCGUGGAUUUUUUUUAGAAGAUAAAUCGUGGAUGUGAUCUGCUGGCUUUCCAUUGUUUUUGAAUGAAUCGUUCGGAAUUGAUCCGCCAUUUCAUUUUCCAUCUGCAGAGGCAUUUACUCAAUACUAGCAUGGAAAAACACUGGCGAGGUUAAGUGAUGACUGACCAAAGAGGUCCAAAUCCACCCUCACCGAGCUUAUUUUCACAUGAAAAAUUAUUCGUGGCUGUUACUAUCUGAGCGAAUUUGAACGCUUGCAGAUUAGAG